rnacentral:rRNA from 1 species
GAUCAAACAGGAUUGAUACCCUGGUAGUCCCCGCCGUAAACGAUGAGUGCUAAAGUGUUAGGGGGGUUUUCGCCCCCUUAGUGCUGCAGCUAACGCAUUUAAGCACUCCCGCCUGGGGGAGUACGGCCGCAAAGGUUGAAACUCAAAUGAAUUGACGGGGACCCGCACAAGCGGUGGAGCAUGUGGUUUAAUUCGAAGCAACGCGAAGAACCUUACCAAAUCUUGACAUCCUUUGACCGCUCUAGAGAUAGAGUCUUCCCCUUCGGGGGACAAAGUGACAGGUGGUGCAUGGUUGUCGUCAGCUCGUGUCGUGAGAUGUUGGGUUAAGUCCCGCAACGAGCGCAACCCUUAAGCUUAGUUGCCAUCAUUAAGUUGGGCACUCUAGGUUGACUGCCGGUGACAAACCGGAGGAAGGUGGGGAUGACGUCAAAUCAUCAUGCCCCUUAUGAUUUGGGCUACACACGUGCUACAAUGGAUAAUACAAAGGGCAGCGAAUCCGCGAGGCCAAGCAAAUCCCAUAAAAUUAUUCUCAGUUCGGAUUGUAGUCUGCAACUCGACUACAUGAAGCUGGAAUCGCUAGUAAUCGUAGAUCAGCAUGCUACGGUGAAUACGUUCCCGGGUCUUGUACACACCGCCCGUCACACCACGAGAGUUUGUAACACCCGAAGCCGGUGGAGUAACCUUUUAGGAGCUAGCCGUCGAAGGUGGGACAA